GAUGAACGCUGGCGGCGUGCCUAAUACAUGCAAGUCGAGCGAACGGACGAGAAGCUUGCUUCUCUGAUGUUAGCGGCGGACGGGUGAGUAACACGUGGAUAACCUACCUAUAAGACUGGGAUAACUUCGGGAAACCGGAGCUAAUACCGGAUAAUAUUUUGAACCGCAUGGUUCAAAAGUGAAAGACGGUCUUGCUGUCACUUAUAGAUGGAUCCGCGCUGCAUUAGCUAGUUGGUAAGGUAACGGCUUACCAAGGCAACGAUGCAUAGCCGACCUGAGAGGGUGAUCGGCCACACUGGAACUGAGACACGGUCCAGACUCCUACGGGAGGCAGCAGUAGGGAAUCUUCCGCAAUGGGCGAAAGCCUGACGGAGCAACGCCGCGUGAGUGAUGAAGGUCUUCGGAUCGUAAAACUCUGUUAUUAGGGAAGAACAAAUGUGUAAGUAACUGUGAACAUCUUGACGGUACCUAAUCAGAAAGCCACGGCUAACUACGU
rnacentral:rRNA from 1 species